GCGCGGGUGGCGGAAUUGGUAGACGCGCAAGGUUGAGGGCCUUGUGGCCGCAAGGCUGUGAGGGUUCGAUUCCCUCCUCGCGCA
rnacentral:tRNA from 1 species